GCUCUAUGCAACCACACAGUUGCCCUAUUAUUCCAGACAGCUCACUUCUCCCAGCUGGGUGUGCCAGUGGUUCCUCCUGUACACAGCUGUACAGAAUCCGAGCAACAAUGGCACAAACCCCGAACAGCAGGUGUAAAACCAGGUCCAGUUGGGAAGAUGGUGGUUGUUAAGCCUGUGCAGGGUCGGAUGGGUAGAGGAGGAUUACAGAGCACCCUCUACAGAGGAAUGACUGGCCCUCUUCCUGACCUGUCGGUACUUUGUGUGGCCGAGGUGUACAGCGGUCUAGAUCCACUGGAUAUGCCCCUGGUGACAAAAAUGGGGAUGAGCAUUGACAAGCCCCUUGUGGAUUCUGAAUUUGGACUGGUACAGAGGGGAAGUGUAAUCUCCUAUCAACAUCCGAAACUUCCAACACACAGAGGAAGAACAUUGACAUAUAAAAAGUUUGCAGUUAUCUAUUGAGAUGGCCCAUAAAAUUGAAUUGUCGACACGGGGUCAGAGCAAAGAUCCAGAGUGGCACGCGUUGCGGCGAAUAAGGAUAACCUCCUCAAGGUUUAGGGAAGUUUCGCAUGUUAGAGGUUACAGUAGUGCUGAGCAUCUUGCAGAGCGAAUUAUCAGAGGCACCAGACAAACUGCGGAAAUGAGAAGAGGUUCAGAAAUGGAGUUUCAGGCAGCAAAAGAAUAUGCCCAGCGCAACAACGUCAAUUACUCCCCUUGGCUAGGGGCCUCGCCGGAUGGCCUUGUUUAUGAUCCCAGUGUAACACCCGCUUACGGUUUGGUUGAAAUUAAAUGUCCAAAUGCUAAAAGUUACAUUGACUGCAAGUACUUACACAUAUCAAAUGGUGCUUUUAAACUAAAGAAAAGCCAUGCCUAUUUUUGGCAAAUACAAGGCCAGCUUUUAAUUACUGGACUUCAAUGGUGUGACCUCUUUGUGUGGGCAGAGGAAGAUUUCUUUGUGCAGCGACUGUAUUCAGACAAAGAAGUUCAAGAAACAAUUAGGCAGAAGUGUGAUCAUUUCUACUUCAGCAUUUAUAUGCCAAAGUAUCUCUCAAUGAGACGAUCACAACUGAUUGGCAGGUAAAGAAAUCUGAUUCUGAUUCAUUAUGUGUGCAUUCUUAUUGUGCAUUCAAAUGAGACUAUGAAUUUGACUUAAUACUUGGUGUACACUGCUUCUCAUUUACAUUACAUUUCCGACUCAUACCCAUAUAUAUAUUUUCCCUUUUUAAUUCAAUGAGAUUGAUAAAAACUCCUACAUGAUCUGCGAUAAAAUGAGUAUUCUAGCUUGUUGCUUUUAAAAAAAAACUGUUUAAUAAGUAAUGCCAGAUUUAUUAAUAAACUUUAUACAUUAUGGCAUUGUUUUUGUGAGGACUCUGCCAUAAUCUUGUCGGUAAUUAUAUCUAGUUUUGUAUGGCAGGGUCCUAACAGUAAAUGUUUUGUGUGGGAGAACGUGGUUUUGGUAUUGUCAUAUCAGACCACGCUUUUCUCGUGUCUUGUGACUUUUCCCCGCUCCCUUGUAUUCUCUUGUCAUUGUGACUUUAUCCCCGCUCCCUUGCAUUUUCCAGUCUUUGUUUUUAUGUCUUGUUUAGUCUAGUGUUCUGUUUUCAUGUAUAUAUAUAUUUAUAUAUAUAUAUUUAUAUAUAAAUAUAUUUAUGGUUUUGUCUUGUUUGUAUUGUGGUUGUCUUGUGUUUGUAUGUGUUUUACAGGUUCACGUGUGCUUCCUCACAGGUGUUCCUGCUCUGUGUGAUUGCCUCCUCAUGUCUUCCUCACCUGUUGCUUGUUAUCCCGUCAUCUCGUCUGUGUAU